rnacentral:tRNA from 1 species
CUAUUUUGACAGAUUAAUGUGUUAAAUUUAGGAUUUAUUUAUGUGAGAAAAAUUACAAGUAGAAA